GGUUGAUCCUGCCAGUAGUCAUAUGCUUGUCUCAAAGAUUAAGCCAUGCAAGUCUAAGUACGACUCUCGUAUAGUGAAUCUGCGAAUGGCUCAUUACAUCGGUCAUAAUUUCCUGGACGAGUUAACCGUACUUGGAUAACUGUGCCAAUUGUAGAGCUAAUACAUGCGACAUACUGUCUCUUCGGAGACGGUGCUUUUAUUAGAUCAAACGCCGAUGGCAUUCGUGUCUCGAGCGGCGAAUCGCGAUAACUCUAGCAUAUCGCACGGUUUCACACCGGCGAAGCGUCCUCCGAGUGACUGCCUUAUCAGCUGUCGAUGGUAGUGUAUUGGACUACCAGGCAUUAACGGGUNACGGGGAAUUAGGGUUCGAUUCCGGAGAGGGAGCCUGAGAAACGGCUACCACAUCUAAGGAAGGCAGCAGGCACGCAAAUUACCCAUUCCCGACUCGGGGAGGUAGUGACGAAAAAUAACGAUACGUGGUACUCAUUCGAGAACCCGUAAUUGGAAUGAGUACAAUUUAAAUCCUUUAACGAGGAUCUAUUGGAGGGCAAGUCUGGUGCCAGCAGCCGCGGUAAUUCCAGCUCCAAUAGCGUAUAUUAAAGUUGUUGCAGUUAAAAAGCUCGUAGUUGGAUCUUGGAUACGGGUAUCGCGGUCUGAGCAGUGUCUCUGUACUGCGAUUGCCCUGUCUGUAUUUUCGGAGGCCCGNGGCGGUGUCCUUNUGGGUGCUGUCGGGUGCCGAAGCGUUUACUUUGAAAAAAUUAGAGUGUUCAAAGCAGACACGU
rnacentral:rRNA from 1 species